AUGCAUGCCCCGCCCGCGUCCGCUGCGUACGCCCGAGUGAUUAAAAAAAACGAUCGGCGAACCCUAUCUUCAAGACGCCUCACCCGCCUCCUCUCGCGCCGCCACCGCAGCCGCCAUCUCCGGCAGUACCUGGCCGAUGAAAAAAAAUGCACGCGCUGUGCGCUACGCCGACAACCGCCUCGGUCUGGCAGACGCCUCCGCCGCCGGCGGCUCGUAUCCGGGGACAACCGCCUCAUGUCUGACGAAGGCAACGAGAUUGAGGCUGAAAUAGGAUAUGAUGGUGAUGAUGGCGGUAGCGAGGACGGAUCAUUGUCAUUGGACGAAGACAAACAUGAUGGCGAAAAUUAUAUGAAUUUGGAUGAGUCUUACAGUGGCAAUAUAGGAGGGGAUGAUGACAAUGAGGAUAUGGAUGUAGAUGAUUCAUAUGCUGAAAGCGGAAGCCAUAUGGAAGUGGAAGGGUACUAUCAGUGGAAUUUUUCCGAUGAUGCCAAUGACGAAAACGAUAUCGAUGCAUCUUAUAAUAACAGCUCGAGCAAAGACGAGGAUGGUGACGCGUGCAAAAACGACGAUGAUGCCGAUGGUGAUGAGUGCAAUUUUGAUACUGGGUACGAUGAAUACCAGCAAGAAUCACUGGACAGGCAUUGGACGGUGAUGUCCACGACGUUCAGGACAGACGAGGAGGCAUAUGAUUUCUAUAACGAUUAUGCGAAAAAGCAAGGCUUCAGCAUUGGGAGGGACAACUUGAAAUAUAAUAAGGGUAUCGACGCACAUAGGCGGUUGAGGAGGUUUCUCUGUUCAAGGUCUGGGAAACGACAGGCCAAGUUUUGUACCAUGGAAGGGAAGAAGCGCAGGCUGAGAGCGGAGACUCGGUGCUAUUGUGAGGCCCAUCUAACUGUGAAGGUUGACAGAGAGCGCUCCAUUUGGUAUGUCAGCAGUUUCAGCGAUGAUCGUAGUCACACUCUUGCUAGACCAGAUGAAGUUAUAUAUCUUCGAUCUCAUAAUCAGAUAAAGGGAUACCAGAAGCUCGAGAUCUUAGCAAUGGCAGGUGCUGGGCUCAAAAAACAUUGGAUUUAUGACAACUUCGUUAGUAGGUAUGGAUCAUAUGCACUGGCUGGUUUCGGGAGGAGGAAGCUUUAUAACAUAUGUUAUAGGGAGAAAAUGGAGUUGCUAGCAAAGGGUGAUGCGGAAACUGCAAUUGGUAUCAUGAUGACGAGAAAGACAAGGGAUCCAGACUUUUUCUUUGAGCACACCGUCGAUGCAGAAGGAAAGCUGAAGAACAUAUUCUGA
rnacentral:rRNA from 1 species